AUCAUGAACAAACGGAUAAAAUGAAUGAUGUUUCAUUGAUUUGUAAGACUGUCUGCAUUCUUGAAUCCCACCACCAAUGCGAAGUUGCAAUACAGUCGGAGCCUGCUGGCGGUGACUUCAGGUGAAGGGCCCAUGGUUCUGGAAUGAUCAGCCAGAGGAUGGAAAGAGUUCGGGAAUGUUAUCACGGAAAACAACUGCAUUCCUACUCCUGUAUUCUCAUACGUUGAUGCGAUCAACGAAGCAAGGUGAUUUCACUCCAGUUUGUACCACGGAGCUCUGGAUGAUGGCUGCUCAAACAGAGCUUUGGUAGAGGGGGUGUGAAGCUCAUAGGAUUGUCUUGAGAAGAAGUUCGAUCUCAUUCCGAGUGGAUCAAGGAUAUCAAAGCCUAUAAUGUGAGUUUUUCGAUACACCGUGAUUCUUUUGGUAUUUGAAUAGUAAGGAGAAAAAAAGCACGUUUUGGUGAAAUAUGUUCGACAAAAGCAUUCCUUCAUCAUCACUAGAACGAUGAGUCUUUAAUGUUUUGAUUUUUUUUUUCUAUAAUAUAUGUUAACAUUCAGUAUC